AAAUAUUGAGGACGGAACAGGCAGCCGUCACGCCAUACUUAUUAUGGUCUUAAAGAGAUGUAGGAGUGUCAACCUACCAAUAUUU
rnacentral:ncRNA from 12 species